UAGUGGUUAGAGCGCUGGACUAGUAACCAGCAGGUAGCCUAGUGGUUAGAGCGUUGGACUAGUAACCAGCAGGUAGGCUAGUGGUUAGAGCGUUGGACUAGUAACCAGCAGGUAGCCUAGUGGUUAGAGCGUUGGACUAGUAACCAGCAGGUAGGCUAGUGGUUAGAGCGUUGGACUAGUAACCAGCAGGUAGCCUAGUGGUUAGAGCGUUGGACUAGUAACCAGCAGGUAGCCUAGUGGUUAGAGCGUUGGACUAGUAACCAGCAGGUAGCCUAGUGGUUAGAGCGUUGGACUAGUAACCAGCAGGUAGCCUAGUGGUUAGAGCGUUGGACUAGUAACCAGCAGGUAGCCUAGUGGUUAGAGCGUUGGACUAGUAACCAGCAGGUAGCCUAGUGGUUAGAGCGUUGGACUAGUAACCAGCAGGUAGCCUAGUGGUUAGAGCGUUGGACUAGUAACCAGCAGGUAGCCUAGUGGUUAGAGCGUUGGACUAGUAACCAGCAGGUAGGCUAGUGGUUAGAGCGUUGGGCCA